CUACGGGAGGCUGCAGUGAGGAAUAUUGCGCAAUGGGGGAAACCCUGACGCAGCGACGCCGCGUGGAUGAUGAAGGCCUUCGGGUCGUAAAAUCCUGUCAGAUGGAAAGAAGUGCCAGAUGUCUAAUAUAUGUCUGGUUUGACGGUACCAUUAAAGGAAGCGCCGGCUAACUCCGUGCCAGCAGCCGCGGUAAUACGGAGGGUGCAAGCGUUGUUCGGAAUUACUGGGCGUAAAGCGCGCGUAGGCGGCUAUUUAAGUCAGAUGUGAAAGUCCACGGCUCAACCGUGGAAGUGCAUUUGAUACUGGGUAGCUUGAGUACUGGAGGGGAUGGUGGAAUUCCCGGUGUAGAGGUGAAAUUCGUAGAUAUCGGGAGGAAUAUCGGUGGCGAAGGCGACCAUCUGGCCAGAUACUGACGCUGAGGUGCGAAAGCGUGGGGAGCAAACAGGAUUAGAUACCCGCGUAGUC
rnacentral:rRNA from 1 species